GUGCUCGCUUCAGCAGCACAUAUACUAAAAUUGGAACGACAUAGAGAAAGAUUAGCAUGGCCUCUGCACAAGGAUGAGACGCAAAUUCAUGAAGCGUUCAGUAUUUUU